UUGCCUACGGGACGCAGCAGUGAGGAAUAUUGGUCAAUGGGCGAGAGCCUGAACCAGCCAAGUCGCGUGAAGGAUGACGGCCCUACGGGUUGUAAACUUCUUUUGUCAGGGAGCAAAGGGCGCCACGUGUGGCGUUUUGCGAGUACCUGAAGAAAAAGCAUCGGCUAACUCCGUGCCAGCAGCCGCGGUAAUACGGAGGAUGCGAGCGUUAUCCGGAUUUAUUGGGUUUAAAGGGUGCGCAGGCGGUCUGUUAAGUCAGCGGUCAAAGCCCGGGGCUCAACCCCGGCCCGCCGUUGAAACUGGCG
rnacentral:rRNA from 1 species